GCUCCCGUAGUUCAACGGAUAGAAUUUUGGCUUCCGAAGCCAAAGGUGCGGGUUCAAUUCCCGCCGGGAGCACCA
rnacentral:tRNA from 1 species